UUGAAAUUUGGAAUAUUAACUUAUCGACACUUACUAGGGGAAAAACAUGGCCAAAACGACACUUAUUUUCAAACGAAGGGUGUACAUCAUUAAGGGGUUUUAGACGAAGGGAGUACAUAAUUAAGGGGUUUCUUUAGCAAUUCAAUAUAACACAUGGUACUAAAUGAAAUAAACUCCAGAAAUCAAAUUUACCGGCGCCGUCGUUGCCUCCGCCUCAGAAUAGUACCAAAAUUGACUCUGUCUACACCGUCGCGGACAUGGCUACAUUCUCGGAGAUUAAUGAGAACCCUACCGUGGUUUUCGCUCCACAAGGCCGAGGAGGCUAUAGUUGCUUUGCUGAAGGAGCUCUUGGAAUUUUGAGGAAAUAAUAUCAGCAGUAUGCCUAAAGACAGUGAGCUUAUAAAGCAAUACGCAGUGAGGCUUGUCGAAAGUACGAGAUUUUAGUAGAGUUCGAAAAACAGCUUAUACCGCUCUUUGGAAAACGUGAAAACUGAUAUACAGAUGUGGUAUCUCCUUCUUGGUUGAAGGUAUUUAAUUCAAGUGAAUUUAAUCAGGGGUUUUGUGAUGUUCCUCUUUGGGCUUCCAUCAGCUUCUACAUGUUAUAAUACAUUGAAGCUUCCAACACAUAAACGUGCCGGCACUUUGACGGCAAAACUUCUAUAUGCCAUUAAUGCCGGAUUCGAACCUUCUUAUUAGUUUGUCACUCAACGAACAGAAGUUGAAAGGGAGCAUAACGUGCAUCUGUGGAAUGUACUGUGGAAUAAAGUAUUGGUGGCUCGUGAUUAUGCAAUAGGUGCAUCUCCUGUUUUAUUUGCUCCCGGAUUGUAUAUACACAUUCCUGAAAGAAACUCUGUAAAUAAUAAAACGGACUUUUGUUGUAUAUGCAAUAUGCUGAAAGAAACUCUGUAAAGGGAUCGAACGGACUUUUGUUGUGUAAACGGACUUUUAUCUUUUAAUUGUAAGCAUUGUGUGUUUGUAUGACUAA